CGCGUAGGCGGAGAUGUAAGCCAGACGUGAAAGCCCGGAGCUCAACUCCGGAAUUGCAUUUGGAACUACAUCCCUUGAGGAUAGGCGGAGAAGACGGAAUUCCACAUGUAGCGGUGAAAUGCGUAGAUAUGUGGAGGAACACCCGUGGCGAAGGCGGUUUUCUAGCUUAUUCCUGACGCUGAGGCGCGAAAGCAGGGGGAGCAAACAGGAUUAGAUACCCUGGUAGUCC
rnacentral:rRNA from 1 species